GGCGGCGUAGCCAAGCAGCUAAGGCGGCGGUCUGCAAAACCGCUAUUCCCGGGUGCAAAUCCCGGCGCCGCCU
rnacentral:tRNA from 1 species